rnacentral:rRNA from 1 species
CAGUAGCCGCGGUAAUACAGAGGUCCCGAGCGUUGUUUGGAUUCACUGGGCGUAAAGGGUGUGUAGGAGGUUGGAUAAGUCAGGUGUGAAAUCCCGCAGCUCAACUGCGGAACUGCAUUCGAUACUGUUCAACUAGAGGAUCGGAGGGGGAAGCGGAAUUCUUGGUGUAGCGGUGAAAUGCGUAGAUAUCAAGAGGAACACCGGUGGCGAAGGCGGCUUCCUGGAAGAUACCUGACUCUGAAACACGAAAGCCAGGGGAGCGAAUGGGAUUAGAUACCCCCGUAGUCCCUGUCUCUUAUAU